UGUGAAUGUGUAUGAAAUGUGUAUAUAUGUGAACAUGUGUGUGGUAUGUGUAUACAUGUGUAUAUGUGUACAGUCUGGCAUCCAUGUGUGCACAUGUAUGGACACAUGUGCAUAUGUGUAUAUUGUAUAUACGUACACAUGUAUAUGUGUACAUGUGUAUGUGUAUCAUCUGGCAUGUGUAUGUGCACAUGUGUGUUUGUAUAUGUGUUUAUAUGUGCAUAUAUGUGAACACAUGUGCCAUGUUUAGAGCUAGAAGCAUGACAUUGAAAUUAACUAAGACGUGCUCUAGAUGAUGGUGACUUUUGCAGCAGUGACCCGAGGUCUGGCUUAUUUCACCAGGUGCUACCUUGAAGAUGGGAUAAAGAUGGACACAAAGGUGAACCUGGCCUUGUUGUGGAUGAAUAUUGAAGAUAUGCUCAAGAGGAGAGAGAAGCCAGCAGGGGUGCACCUGAGAGGGUGAUUCUGAUUACUUACGAAAAGAGAAGAAGACGCAUGAGGCAGGUGUUGGAGUAAAUCAUCAGAAGACAAGCUACACGAGGGAAGCCUGCAGUCUCUGCGGCAAUGGCUCCGUGCUGCCCAGGGGCUAGCUCAUGGUCUGGCUGGCUCUUUCUUCCUCAUUCCUUUGUUCUAACUCAACAUAAAUGGACUGGCAGACCUUUGUCUCCUCAUUGUUGACUUAUCUAGUCUGUGUUUUGUUUAGCCAGUGGUUUUAUAUGUAGCCCAGGCUGGCUUCAAAUUCCACUGUGUGUAACUCAGUCCUCCAGACUCAGCCUGGAGGUAUGUGUAUGUGUGUAUAGUCUGACAUGUAUAUGUGCAUGUGUGUAUGUGUGUGCAUGUGUAGAAAUGUGCGUGGAAUGUGAAGACCCCAGAUUGAUUUCCCUGGACACCCAGUUCUUCUUGCCGCAGAGUCAUGAAAACACUGAUGUUUGUGUCCAUACGUGUUUCUUGGAUGCAGUAGCCAGAUUCUUCUCUGGGGUAUCUUCAGGAGGGAUAUUGCUGGCAGGUUGGGUUGGGGCAUCUCUUCCACUGAUACCACAUUGCCAACCUGUUUUCAAGGUGGCUGUGGUCACCCACACCCUCUGUUUGCUGACCGCUGAUCUUCAAACUGUAUUGACUUGACAACAUCCCCAACCUGGGCCAUUACUCCCCCUCACCUGCUGGAGAUGCAACCACAGAGAAGCAGACCAAGGUGACCUGCCCACAUACGUACAUUGAUGCAUGUGGUUCAAAGGAUGCAAUGGCCGAACAUUUGUUUAGUUCUUGGAAUAGGCUGCUCAACUGGAUACAUGUCAGCCCAGUUUAAUCUAUUUAACUAGAAAGCUGGCACUCUCUUCCACACCUGUGAUCACUUGGAUAUGGAAUGUCCCCCCAAAGACCAGUGCAUUAACGGAUUGGUCCUCAGGGCAGAGCUAUUGGGGGAGUCUCCAGGCACCUGAGGUGUGGGCUGAAGGGACUAGUGCCCCUUGAUCACUUUUUCUUCUGUAAGGUAGAAGGCUUGCUUUGCUACACACUCCUACCAUGGUGUGCUGCCUGGGCCAAAGCCACAAGUCAGUGGAUAUAACCUGAAACCUCCAAACCUUGAGCCAGCCAACCUUUUACACAAGCCAUCCACCCCUGACAUUUGUUAUAGUAACAGCAGCUACACACAAUCCCUAUUUGCCCAAGCAACUCAUCCAAGGCCAUGUGUCUGGGAUUUGAACUCGGGUGUUCAUCUCCCACCAUCCUGGCCCACAUUUGUGUCUUCUACUCUGGACCCUGGGAGCAAUGUACAGUAUGAAAGCUUAGGUUUUCUGCAUAGGAGGGGUGGAUACCAGCCUUCCCUGGGUCCAGGCUAGAAACCUCCUGGGCACCUGGAGGCUUGGAACCAUCCCUUGCCCUGGCAUGCAGCUCAGGGAUAGGCUGGUUUCACAGAAGCCUCAGUACUGAUGUGCUAUUGGCUUGCAUGCUCUGGAUGCACCUCAUGUACACUUGGAGCUUUGAGUGAAACCCACCAGGCUGCACAGAACUCACUCUUCUCUGUUGUCACUGUGUGGAGCCUCAGAGACCCAAGGGCACAAACAGCCUCCUGAAUUUGCUCUCUGAGUUCCCGGUUGCAGCACGGCAUGAGGAAAAUUAACUAAAAGACAAACUUCUUGUACCUAGUGGGUUGGUGAGCCUCUUCUUCCACAGCAUCUGUGACCCGAGGCACUGUUAGGAGGCGGGGCACUGCUGCAGCAAGCCACCAAGGGCAGACUUGCAGGUUAGAUCCUCUCCUGGUUCCUGCUGAGCUGUCUGCUUCCUGGUCCACCAUGAUGUGAGCAGCCUGGAUCACUCAUCAGCGUCCUUGAGUCACCUGUCUUCCUGCCACGAUGGAUCUAAACUCUCAGAAACCGUAAGCUAAAUAGUAACACAUCUUCUGUGUCUGUUGAGUAUUUGGGUCGGUCCAAAGAAGCGAGACAGAUCCUCC
rnacentral:lncRNA from 1 species